GACAGAGGUGCCGAGCGUUAGGCGGAAUCACUGGGCUUAAAGCGUGUGUAGGCGGGUCGUUAAGUGUCUUGUGAAAUCCCACCGCUCAACGGUGGAACUGCUGGGCAUACUGGCGAUCUUGAGCCACCUAGGGGCGAGCGGAACAAGCGGUGGAGCGGUGAAAUGCGUAGAUAUCGCUUGGAACGCCGACGGUGAAAACAGCUCGCUGGGGGUGUGCUGACGCUGAGACACGAAAGCCAGGGGAGCGAACGGGAUUAGAUACCCCGGUAGUCCUGGCCCUAAACGAUGUCCACUAGGUCACGGCCCCUCUGACGGGGUCGUGGCCGAAGCAAAAGUGCUAAGUGGACCGCCUGGGAAGUACGGUCGCAAGGCUAAA
rnacentral:rRNA from 1 species